UAGGGAAUCUUCGGCAAUGGGGGGAACCCUGACCGAGCAACGCCGCGUGAGUGAAGAAGGUUUUCGGAUCGUAAAGCUCUGUUGUUAAGGAAGAACGAGUGUGAGAAUGGAAAGUUCAUACUGUGACGGUACUUAACCAGAAAGGGACGGCUAACUACGUGCCAGCAGCCGCGGUAAUACGUAGGUCCCGAGCGUUGUCCGGAUUUAUUGGGCGUAAAGCGAGCGCAGGCGGUUAGAUAAGUCUGAAGUUAAAGGCAGUGGCUCAACCAUUGUAGGCUUUGGAAACUGUUUAACUUGAGUGCAGAAGGGGAGAGUGGAAUUCCAUGUGUGGCGGUGAAAUGCGUGGAUAUAUGGAGGAAAACCGGUGGCGAAAGCGGCUCUCUGGUCUGUAACUGACGCAGAGGCUCGAAAGCGUGAGGAGCGAACAGG
rnacentral:rRNA from 1 species